rnacentral:rRNA from 1 species
GGGUUUGAUCCUGGCUCAGAGCGAACGCUGGCGGCGUGCCUAACACAUGCAAGUCGAACGAACCGUAAGGUAAGUGGCGAAAGGGUGAGUAAUACAUAGAUAAUCUACCCUUGGGACGGGGAUAACGUGGGGAAGCCCGCGCUAAUACCCGAUGUCACCGCGAUAACUCCUGUUAUUGUGGUUAAAUGCUCCGACGCCCAAGGAGGAGUCUGUGUCCUAUCAGCUAGUUGGUGAGGUAAGAGCUCACCAAGGCUUCGACGGGUAGCAGGUCUGAGAGGAUGAUCUGCCACACUGGGACUGAGACACUGCCCAGACUCCUACGGGAGGCUGCAGUGGGGAAUCUUGGGCAAUGAGCGAAAGCUUGACCCAGCGACGUCGCGUGCACGAAGAAGGCCUUCGGGUUGUAAAGUGCUGUCACAGGGUAAGAAAGGAACCUUCGGGUUCUUGACGUUCCCCUGAGAGGAAGCUCUGGCUAAACACGUGCCAGCAGCCGCGGUAAUACGUGUAGAGCUAGCGUUGCUCGGAUUCACUGGGCUUAAAGGGUGUGUAGGCGGCAUUAUAAGUAAGGUGUGAAAUCCUACGGCUUAACCGUAGAAUUGCAUCUUAUACUGUAGUGCUCGAGUGCUGGAGAGGAUAGCGGAAUUCUAGGUGUAGCGGUGAAAUGCAUAGAUAUCUAGGAGAACGCCGGUGACGAAGGUGGCUAUCUGGCCGGCUACUGACGCUGAAACACGAAAGCUAGGGGAGCGAACGGGAUUAGAUACCCCGGUAGUCCUAGCCCUAAACGAUGUGCACUUGGUGGUGGGGAUCUUAAAUCUUCAUUGCCGUAGCGAAAGCGUUAAGUGCACCGCCUGGGGAGUACGCUCGCAAGGGUAAAACUCAAAGGAAUUGACGGGAGCUUACACAAGCGGUGGAGCAUGUUGUUUAAUUCGAAGAUACGCGAAGAACCUUACCAGGGCUUGACAUGUUAGUAGUAGCGAUCCGAAAGGUGAACCAUCCUACUUUGUAGGAAGCUAUCACAGGUGCUGCAUGGUCGUCGUCAGCUCGUGUCGUGAGAUGUCGCGUUAAGUCGCUUAACGAGCGCAACCCUUGCCCUUAGUUGCCAGCGGAUUAUGCCGGGGACUCUAGGGGGACUGCCGGUGUCAAACCGGAGGAAGGUGGGGACGACGUCAGAUCAUCAUGGCCCUUACGCCCUGGGCUACAAACGUGCUACAAUGGUUGGUACAGAGGGUAGCGAGACCGCGAGGUUUAGCAAAUCCCUUAAAGCCACCCCCAGUUCGGAUUGGAGGCUGAAAUUCGCCUCCAUGAAGGUGGAAUCGCUAGUAAUCGCAGAUCAGCUAUGCUGCGGUGAAUCCGUUCCUAAGCUUUGUACACACCGCCCGUCAAGCCACGAAAGUCGGGAGCACCUGAAGUCGCUAUCCUAACCUUUACGGAGGGAGGCGCCCACGGUGAGACUGGCAAUUGGGACUAAGUCGUAACAAGGUA